rnacentral:rRNA from 1 species
AUACGUAGGGGGCAAGCGUUGUCCGGAAUUACUGGGCGUAAAGAGCUCGUAGGCGGCUCAGCAAGUCGGUCGUGAAAGCCCGAGGCUCAACCUCGGAACUGCGGUCGAUACUGCUGUGGCUAGAGUCCGGUAGAGGGGAGUGGAAUUCCCGGUGUAGCGGUGGAAUGCGCAGAUAUCGGGAGGAACACCAGUGGCGAAGGCGGCUCUCUGGGCCGGUACUGACGCUGAGGAGCGAAAGCGUGGGGAGCAAACAGGAUUAGAUACCCUAGUAGUCC